rnacentral:tmRNA from 1 species
GGGGGCGAUCUUGGUUUCGACGGGGGUUGCAAAGCAGAUGCGGGCAUACCGGGGUCUCAGAUUUCCCGUAAAACACUGAAUCAAAAUAGUCGCAAACGACGAAACUUACGCACUGGCCGCUUAAGGCCUGCCGUUGCAGCAGUUGGUCAAUGGGCUGUGUAGUUUAGACUACCGCAACGUCAUUUUACAUUGACUGGUUUUCCGCCGGGUUACUUGUCGGAAAAUAAGAUUUAAGGUAACUGGUUUCCCAAGGGCCUGUCGGUCGGCGUGCGGGAAGCAAGAUUUUUUAAAUAGACACGACUAAGUAUGUAGAACGCUUUGUAGAGGACUUUCGGACGGGGGUUCAAUUCCCCCCGCCUCCACCA